rnacentral:rRNA from 1 species
AACGCUAGCGGCAGGCUUAACACAUGCAAGUCGAGGGGUAACAUGUCUGCUUGCAGAUGAUGACGACCGGCGCACGGGUGCGUAACGCGUAUACAAUCUGCCUCAUACUGAGGGAUAGCCUUUGGAAACGAAGAUUAAUACCUCAUAGUAUUGUUUGAUCACCUGAUUUUACAAUUAAAGGUUACGGUAUGAGAUGAGUAUGCGUCCUAUUAGCUAGAUGGUAAGGUAACGGCUUACCAUGGCAACGAUAGGUAGGGGCCCUGAGAGGGGGAUCCCCCACACUGGUACUGAGACACGGACCAGACUCCUACGGGAGGCAGCAGUGAGGAAUAUUGGACAAUGGAGGCAACUCUGAUCCAGCCAUGCCGCGUGAAGGAUGACUGCCCUAUGGGUUGUAAACUUCUUUUAUACAGGAAGAAACCGUUCCACGUGUGGAGCUUUGACGGUACUGUAUGAAUAAGCACCGGCUAACUCCGUGCCAGCAGCCGCGGUAAUACGGAGGGUGCAAGCGUUAUCCGGAAUCAUUGGGUUUAAAGGGUCCGUAGGCGGACUAAUAAGUCAGAGGUGAAAUCCUGCAGCUCAACUGUAGAACUGCCUUUGAUACUGUUAGUCUUGAGUUAUUGUGAAGUGGUUAGAAUAUGUAGUGUAGCGGUGAAAUGCUUAGAGAUUACAUAGAAUACCGAUUGCGAAAGGCAGAUCACUAACAAUCAACUGACGCUGAUGGACGAAAGCGUGGGGAGCGAACGGGAUUAGAUACCCCGGUAGUCCACGCCGUAAA